rfam:Rheinheimera sp. F8 genome.
UAUUGGUCCUCCCGCAAUAGUAGUUCGUGAACCCGGUCAGGUCCGGAAGGAAGCAGCCGCAGCGAAUGAUCUAUGUGCCGGGAUGUGGCUGGUAAGG